GCGGUGACGCCGAUGGUGCGAGCUGGACAUGGGGUGCUACGUCAUCGUUGUCAUCGUCA
rnacentral:pre_miRNA from 1 species